AAACUUACCUGGCAGAGGAGAUACUAUGAUCACAAAGGUGCUUUUCCCAGGACAAGGCUCAUUCGUUGCUGUAUUGGUCUGUUUUCUUUUUUCUUUUUUCUUUUUUUAGACGGAGUUUCGCUCUUGUUACCCAGGCUGGAGUGCAAUGGCGCGAUCUCGGC